GGCAACCAAUCAGCGUGGAGAAUUUUCAAUAAUCACCUAUGUAAUUAUACUAAAACUCAUUAUUAUCUAUGUUGGUCAACGUUUAUUCAUAAAUCUGGUCCUUCACCGUCAUGUGUGUAUUGUAUUUUUGCUCAACUAACCAAUAGCAAUGUUUUAGGAAAGUCACCUAUUCGUGACUCGAACAAUAGGGAAACUGCAAAUUGCUAUUGGUGGAUUUGGUAAAAAUACAAUACACACGUGACGGUGAAAGGACCAGAUUGAUGAAUAAACGUUGACUAACAUAGAUAACGAGUUAUAUUGUUAUUCUAAUGAGUUUCACAGCCAUCUUCCCUUCGAUAGGCUAUGGUUUAACAGAACAAAGACACAGUCUGCAAACCCUCGUCNNNNNNNNNNNNNNNNNNNNGGUAACCUGGUGUAAACAUUCAAUGAAAUCUCACAUCCUUUCUCUAAAGUCUAUUUUUUUCCGUAAAAAGUAUGGAAAUUUAAAUAAAGACUUCACUAGUUGAUAAAAUACAUGUUUAGGUAUCCUAUCAUGAUGUUUUAGAUAUUUUGACAUUUUCAUCCUAAUCGACUAAAUUUUGAGGUGAAGCUCCCCCUUAA
rnacentral:lncRNA from 1 species